rnacentral:rRNA from 1 species
AGGACGAACGCUGGCGGCGUGCUUAACACAUGCAAGUCAUGGGGGCCCGCAAGGGCAACCGGCGAACGGGUGCGUAACACGUGAGCAAUCUGCCUAGAUGUGGGGGAUAGCCGGCCCAACGGCCGGGUAAUACCGCAUACGCUCUCCGAGUGGCAUCACUUGGUGAGGAAACCUCCGGGGCAUCUAGAGGAGCUCGCGGCCUAUCAGCUAGUUGGUGGGGUAAUGGCCUACCAAGGCAUUGACGGGUAGCUGGUCUGAGAGGAUGGCCAGCCACAUUGGGACUGAGAUACGGCCCAGACUCCGUACGGGAGGCAGCAGGUGGGGAAUAUUGCGCAAGUGGACCGAAAGGCUGACGCGAGGCGACGCCGGCGGUGGGGAUGGAAGCUAGUUUCGGUACGUACGUUAAACCCCGUUGUUCGCGUCGGACGAACAAGACGUAUUU